rnacentral:lncRNA from 7 species
AUGCACUGGAUCAUGGCAUUCCUCUCCAGCUUCAGUUGACGCUGGCAGCGCAGGAAGAGGCUCUCUAUCAAUCUGACCUGCCCCUAGUGGAUCCCAUGGAUGGCAGCCAGUCUGUGAGUUCUGAUGUACACUCCGAAGACUGGGCUUAAAUUGGUUAAGAACAUGAAGUUUUAUACUGUCUAAACCUCAAACUGCUGCAGUUUGGAACAGAUGUAAAUGCAAGAUAAUAUUGCCAUUAACGUAGCAUGUGAUUACACAUCCAACUGACAGAAGUUGCGUAGCAUCUUUAUCAGGAUUGUCCUCAUUAUGCAGAUUGAAAUUGCCGAGGUCAGUCUCUGUCCUCCUUUUCUCCCACUCUUUAUUUAUCCUCUUCCUCGCUCUCUUUUCUUUGCAUGUUUGUUCCCUUCUUAUGUUCUUUGUUUUCUUCCGCUACUGAUGUGUCAUUUUUCCAGACCAUCACCUGUUUGCUUUGCUGUUCACCUGUGUGUCUACCAGGUUUCUUGUCAUGUUUGUUCUCCUGGCUCACCAGCUCUGUGUACAGUAUAAUUCUGUGCAAAACCCUAGUCUGAUCCUGUGCUGAGCUGCAGCAGAAUAGGCUGGGAAGCUGCAGGUGGGUAAAUCCAAACCAGGGCUUCAUGGCAGACUGAGGCAUCUUUUGCCAGCAAACAGAGGAAGAGCAGAGCUCUGCUUCUCUGUGUUCUCUGCUCUGAAGAUGGACUUUCCUUCGUCUGAUACUGAGGGAAAGCACAAAAGGACUACCUCAAUCAAGUUACAUUCUUCUUCCUUUGCAAACCCCUUCUUACAAAUGUUAACAAUCUGUUCAGGUGCUGUACAUCCUCAGGAAAAGUAUGCACAAAAUGUUAUGAACUUCUGCCUAAAUAAUUCAUAGACACUAUGUGAAUUUCUUACUUAAUAAAUUGUCAGUGAAG